rnacentral:lncRNA from 1 species
UACUAUAUCUGUUGUUCUUCAUUUUCCCAUCUCUAAAUUGCUUGAUCCAGCCCUUGAAGGAUUCCUCUCUCCAUGAUGACCAGUAGCAAUACUUUAACUAAACGCAGGAUAUGCGCAAAAAUUGUAAGAUCUUAAAAAGCAUUCCAUGCUAAAUCUCCCUGUCUUACAAAAAAAAAAAUGGGUUGCGGCAACGGCGAUCUCGAUGGUGGUAAGAAUCAAAAAGUGACCACUGAAAAUAUCAGACACAAAAAAAUCACAUUAGUCUUUCUAAUUCCAUUCAAAUAAAUAAAUAAAUUAAAUGUUCUAAGAUGAGUUCGUAAACAUUCCAGACACCAGAAUCAAAUUAAUUUUUAGCCUACUUCAGUUAAAGCCAAGCUAGUGAAAGAAAUGAGCUCACUUCUCAUAAUGUCACACCAAAUUUGGGUAAUUAGCAAUCGCUAUUUUUUCUAAGAUCAAGUAUCACACAAAGGAACUUACUGACAUUCUCCUCUCCUCAGGAUCCCCUCAAAGUUUUCGGUGUAAAUCUUUCCGUUCCAACUCAUCUUUGCUGUCCAUCAAGUGAUCCCUUAUUCCCAUCUCACCAGUCAAGACAGUCGUGACGGUGCUCUAGCUGCCUAUGCAUCGGAGUUAGGGAUGACGUAAAAAUAUCAUAUAAUCAGAACAAAUAUCAAAAACUCUGUGUGUGUGUGUGUGUGUGUGAGAGAGAGAGAGAGAGAGCAAAAAAGACAACAAAACAAUAGGCAUUCAAAGGAAAGAGCAUCAAGCAAUAUCAUAAAAAUAAUCUCACAUAAAAAAUAAACCAAUCAACAUAAAAACUUGAAAUAGCUACUAGUGCAGCAAACCCAAGUACCCGGCUGAAUGGACCACAAUUUAUCUAAUUAAGUAACCUAAUUGCUUGAACCAAAACUACUUAUAAUUCUUGAUUCCCUUUGUUCAACAUCAAAAAAUUGCGGUUCACAGACAAAAAUUUUGUUUUACCAUCAACCCAGCCUGCUCAUGUUUAUUUUCCUAAGCAACGAAUAUUAGCACGAACACAGUUUUCUUUCUUCGUGCCCUCACAAAAACUUAUUGAGGCCUCAUUAUUGUUUCUACGUCUAUCUCCACAAGCUCCGGAUAUUCUCACAAAGGAUGUUUGAAACAUGGGCCGGAAACUGCACCAGUUUUUUAAAGUAAAAGUAAGUACAAAAUUACACACCCGCAAGAUGUUUAACAAACCCCUACAAAAUAAAUCUUGGUGUUUGAGACUUAAAUAUCUAGUUAGUAACUGAAAAUAAUAUAUAAAAGUCUGGUGAAAAUACAGCAGGAAAAGCAUUCACAGAAUCAUUUUUCCCCUGGUGCAAGAAUGAAGAAAAAGUCAGAUAAACAUAACAUAAGGAGCACAACCUCGUCCUUCAAUGAGUUCAAUUAUCAGGACUAGUGAACUGAUUCCAUUUGCCCUCAAAAGAGUUUGCAGAGUUCAUCCAGCCAUGGACAUUCCAGUCAACAUGUAGGCAAUAUUUAAACAAUCAUUGGGCCACCAAGUAAACAGGUUAUGCAGAACAGAACAAGCCAAUUUCAUAAGGGUUUGCAGAACAAGAACAAAGCCUUCAUAACCAAACUAUCCACGCACAAACUGCCUGACUGAACUAAUUUUGCAGAAAACUUCUACUGAAAUUCAGCACAACCAAAAGCACUAAAUCACAAAAUAAAUUGCCACAAGAAGAUUCGGUUUGGUACGGUUUGAUCUUACAAAAAAAAAAGGGUUCCGACAGCGGAUGGCGGUAAGAAUCAAAAGGUAACCACUGAAAAUAACAGAGCACACACAAAAAAUCAAAAUUCGUCUUUCUAAUUCAACUACAUCGUUAAAAAGAGAAUGUGAACUUCAUUGCUCACAAAACUCAAAAAGAUUUGAAAAAAUAACAACAAACUCACCAGACCCAAUGAAAGCAACAAAAGUGCAAUGGUCAUCGAUCUGAUCACCUUUUCAAUAGGGGAGGGACGGAUCUGGUGGAGGGAUCUAAUCACGUUCUUCAUUCACUCAGCCCUAAUAGAUAUAUGGAAAAACGCAAAAGAGAAUAUGAACUUCAACGCCCACAAAACCCAAAAAGAUUUAAAAAAAUAACAACAAACUCACCAAACCCAAUGAAAGCAACAAAAGUGUAAUGGUCAUCGAUCUGAUUACCUUCUUCAAUAGGGGAGGGAUCUGAUCACGUUCUUCCUUCACUA